rnacentral:rRNA from 1 species
AGAAUCAACGCUGGCGGCGUGCCUAACACAUGCAAGUCGAACGAGAAAGUGGAGCAAUCCAUGAGUAAAGUGGCGCACGGGUGAGUAACACGUGACUAACCUACCCUUGAGUGGGGAAUAACUUCGGGAAACCGAGGCUAAUACCGCAUAACACCUACGGGUCAAAGGAGCAAUUCGCUUAAGGAGGGGGUCGCGGCAGAUUAGUUAGUUGGCGGGGUAAUGGCCCACCAAGACGGUGAUCUGUAUCCGGCCUGAGAGGGCGCACGGACACACUGGAACUGAAACACGGUCCAGACUCCUACGGGAGGCAGCAGUGGGGAAUUUGCGCAAUGGGGGAAACCCUGACGCAGCAACGCCGCGUGGAGGAUGAAGUCCCUUGGGACGUAAACUCCUUUCGAUCGGGACGAUUAUGACGGUACCGGAAGAAGAAGCCCCGGCUAACUUCGCGCUAGCAGCCGC